UGCGUAGGCGGUCCGGUAAGUCAGGUGUGAAAUCCCUCGGCUUAACCGAGGAAUUGCGCUUGAAACUGUCGGACUUGAGGGAGACAGAGGUGAGUGGAACUUAGGGUGGAGCGGUGAAAUGCGUUGAUAUCCUAAGGAACACCGGUGGCGAAAGCGACUCACUGGGUCUUUUCUGACGCUGAGGCACGAAAGCUAGGGUAGCGAACGGGAUUAGAUACCCCGGUAGUCCUAGCCGUAAACGAUGAGCACUAGAUCGAAGGGUCCCUCAUAGCCUUUUGGUCGUAGCGAAAGUGUUAAGUGCUCCGCCUGGGGAGUAUGGUCGCAAGGCUGAA
rnacentral:rRNA from 1 species